rnacentral:lncRNA from 1 species
AUUGUAUGUGUUGAAAAGGUUCAAGUUUGGGGUUGUGUGGGGAAAGUAAAAGGAAAAAGCAAAAGCAUUGAGUUCAAAAGAAUGAAAAAGAAAAAUGCAUGAGAAAGAAAAGAAAAGAAGAAAAGAAGAAAAACAUGUAAAAGUGAACUCAAUGUAAAAAAAAGGAAAAAAGGGAAAAGUUGGGAAUGAGUGAGAUUGGUUAAAAAGAGAGUAUGCUUGAACUUUGAAUGAUGAUUUAAACUCUCUUAACUCAAGGAUUUUGUAUUCCAGAAAAACCAAUUUUUCUUGAUAGUCCAGCCACAAUACAAACCUUAGAAAAAGUCCUUGUAUGACAUGUGCAUGUAAAGAUUUUGAUUAUUUUAGAUGAAUGACAAUAUUGUUUUAUGUGACAUGUGAACAGUAGAGAGUAGAGUGACCUCCUAAACACUUGAGAGAUUGAGUGAAACAC